rnacentral:rRNA from 1 species
UACAGAGGUCCCGAGCGUUGUUCGGAAUGACUGGGCGUAAAGGGCGCGUAGGCGGCGAUCUUAGUCAGGCGUGAAAGCCCUGGGCUUAACCUGGGAACUGCGCUUGAUACUGGGUUGCUUGAGUAUGGGAGAGGAUGGUGGAAUUCCCAGUGUAGAGGUGAAAUUCGUAGAUAUUGGGAAGAACACCGGUGGCGAAGGCGGCCAUCUGGACCAUUACUGACGCUGAGGCGCGAAAGCGUGGGGAGCAAACAGG